AUCAGCAGCCAUAUCACCCUGCAUCUCACAACUGGCAACCCCUUGAAGCUAAGCAGAUGUGAGCCUGGUCAGUACCUGGAUGUCAGACCUCCUGGGAAAAACUAAGGUUGCUGCUGGAA
rnacentral:rRNA from 1 species